GUCAACGUUUCAGUUCAAUUCAGAGAACUUUCAUCAGGACCCUGAUGAAAGUCCUUUGAAUUGAACUGAAACGCUGAC